UGUGAACAUGCUUCCGUGAACAUCCUUCUACAUGUAUUCAGAGGUACAAUGCAUUUAUUUCUCUGGAGAAUUACCACUCUUAAUUCUGAAUUAAAAG